AGCUAGUUGGUGAGGUAACGGCUCACCAAGGCAACGAUACAUAGCCGACCUGAGAGGGUGAUCGGCCACACUGGGACUGAGACACGGCCCAGACUCCUACGGGAGGCAGCAGUAGGGAAUCUUCCGCAAUGGACGAAAGUCUGACGGAGCAACGCCGCGUGAGUGAAGAAGGUUUUCGGAUCGUAAAACUCUGUUGUAAGGGAAGAACAAGU
rnacentral:rRNA from 1 species